GAUGAACGCUGGCGGCGUGCCUAAUACAUGCAAGUCGAGCGAACAGACGAGGAGCUUGCUCCUCUGACGUUAGCGGCGGACGGGUGAGUAACACGUGGAUAACCUACCUAUAAGACUGGGAUAACUUCGGGAAACCGGAGCUAAUACCGGAUAAUAUAUUGAACCGCAUGGUUCAAUAGUGAAAGACGGUUUUGCUGUCACUUAUAGAUGGAUCCGCGCCGCAUUUGCUAGUUGGUAAGGUAACGGCUUACCAAGGCAACGAUGCGUAGCCGACCUGAGAGGGUGAUCGGCCACACUGGAACUGAGACACGGUCCAGACUCCUACGGGAGGCAGCAGUAGGGAAUCUUCCGCAAAGGGCGAAAGCCUGACGGAGCAACGCCGCGUGAGUGAUGAAGGUCUUCGGAUCGUAAAACUCUGUUAUUAGGGAAGAACAAAUGUGUAAGUAACUAUGCACGUCUUGACGGUACCUAAUCAGAAAGCCACGGCUAACUACGUG
rnacentral:rRNA from 1 species